rnacentral:rRNA from 1 species
UACGUAGGGUCCAAGCGUUAUCCGGAAUCACUGGGCGUAAAGCGUGCGUAGGUGGGCUUUUAAGUGCAAUGCGAAAUCCUGUGGCUCAACCAUAUGGACUGUAUUGCAUACUGGAAGUCUGGAGGACAUGAGAGGCAAGUGGAAUUACCGGUGUAGCAGUGAAAUGCGUAGAUAUCGGUAGGAACACCAAUGGCGAAAGCAGCUCUCUGGGACGGUACUGACGCUGAAACGCGAAAGCGUGGGGAGCGAACAGG